rnacentral:rRNA from 1 species
GAUGAACGCUCGCGAUAGGCUUAACACAUGCAAGUCGAGGGGCAGCAUGGUCUUAGCUUGCUAAGACUGAUGGCGACCGGCGCACGGGUGCGUAACGCGUAUGCAACUUGCCUCACAGAGGGGGAUAACCCGUCGAAAGACGGACUAAUACCGCGUACACUUGGGAUAGGGCAUCCUGACCCAAGGAAAUGAAAUUCGCUGUGAGAUAGGCAUGCGUCCCAUUAGCUAGUUGGUGAGAUAACGGCUCACCAAGGCGACGAUGGGUAGGGGAACUGAGAGGUUGAACCCCCACACUGGUACUGAGACACGGACCAGACUCCUACGGGAGGCAGCAGUGAGGAAUAUUGGUCAAUGGGCGAGAGCCUGAACCAGCCAAGUCGCGUGAAGGAUGACUGUCUUAUGGAUUGUAAACUUCUUUUAUACGGGAAUAACAAGAGCCACGUGUGGCUCCCUGCAUGUACCGUAUGAAUAAGCAUCGGCUAACUCCGUG